AAUCAACGCUGGCGGCGUGCUUAACACAUGCAAGUCGAACGCGAAAGUGGAGCAAUCCAUGAGUAGAGUGGCAAACGGGUGAGUAACGCGUGGGCGACCUACCUUCGAGUGGGGGAUAACCUUCCGAAAGGAGGGCUAAUACCGCAUGACAUCCCGUGUUUGGAUACACGGACAUCAAAGCCGGGGAUCGCAAGACCUGGCGCUUGGAGAGGGGCCCGCGUCCGAUUAGCAGUUGGUGAGGUAACGGCUCACCAAGGCUCCGAUCGGUAUCCGGCCUGAGAGGGCGGACGGACGCACUGGAACUGAGACACGGUCCAGACUCCUACGGGAGGCAGCAGGUGGGGAAUUGUUCGCAAUGGGCGCAAGCCUGACGACGCAACGCCGCGUGGAGGAUGAAGAC
rnacentral:rRNA from 1 species